rnacentral:lncRNA from 1 species
AUGAAACGCUCAAUUUUCUCUAAGUCUCAAAUUCCUCAGCCUUAUUUCAGCAGGGAAGCAGCCUUCCCAUGUCAACAACCAGCAGCAGCUCACAAUCCUGCUGCACAUAACCUGAGCUGCACAUCACAGACCCGAGGCACACACACACACACAGACCCGAGCUGCACGAACACACACACAGAGACCCGAGCUGCACCACACACACACACGCAGACCCGAGCUGCACAUCACACACACGCAGACCCGAGCUGCACAUCACACACACGCAGACCCGAGCUGCACAUCACACACACGCAGACCCGAGCUGCACAUCACACACACGCAGACCCGAGCUGCACAUCACACACACGCAGACCCGAGCUGCACAUCACACACACGCAGACCCGAGCUGCACAUCACACACACGCAGACCCGAGCUGCACAUCACACACACGCAGACCCGAGCUGCACAUCACACACACGCAGACCCGAGCUGCACAUCACACACACGCAGACCCGAGCUGCACAUCACACACACGCAGACCCGAGCUGCACAUCACACACACGCAGACCCGAGCUGCACAUCACACACACGCAGACCCGAGCUGCACAUCACACACACGCAGACCCGAGCUGCACAUCACACACACGCAGACCCGAGCUGCACAUCACACACACGCAGACCCGAGCUGCACAUCACACACACGCAGACCCGAGCUGCACAUCACACACACGCAGACCCGAGCUGCACAUCACACACACGCAGACCCGAGCUGCACAUCACACACACGCAGACCCGAGCUGCACAUCACACACACGCAGACCCGAGCUGCACAUCACACACACGCAGACCCGAGCUGCACAUCACACACACGCAGACCCGAGCUGCACAUCACACACACGCAGACCCGAGCUGCACAUCACACACACGCAGACCCGAGCUGCACAUCACACACACGCAGACCCGAGCUGCACAUCACACACACGCAGACCCGAGCUGCACAUCACACACACGCAGACCCGAGCUGCACAUCACACACACGCAGACCCGAGCUGCACAUCACACACACGCAGACCCGAGCUGCACAUCACACACACGCAGACCCGAGCUGCACAUCACACACACACGCAGACCCAGCCAAAGGCAGCACACAGCUGCUGUUUUGCACAGCUGGCCAGAGGCACUGCAGGGACCCAGCACAGCUUGGGGAGGGAUGCAAAGCACUGCAAGCCUGGGAACCAUGCUCAAAUCCAGAGUAG